AUGGCUUCAAUCGCAAUGCUAGUCAUAUGGAAAAUUUGGAACGAGCGCAAUGCAAGGGUCUUCAACAACAAAUUCGCAACUAUGGGAUACAUCUUCUAUAGGAUCCAUGAGCAGACUUGUAUUUGGGUUAAGGCGGGUGCUACGCGUUUGAGUAAUUUGAUGCCAGGAGAAUAG
rnacentral:rRNA from 1 species